rnacentral:lncRNA from 1 species
GGCAACAUCGACAUUUCCAGGGAGAAACGAGAUCGACUUGCCAAAAAUCCGACACCUUUUGAAAAGAAAAAAAUAUGGUACUAACCAAGAAAAUUUCGGUUACACUAACUUACUUCAAAGUAAAGGUGUAAGGCAAAGAAAGGAAAAGGUAAAAAGAUAUUUAUUCAAAAUUGCAAAAACGAUGAAUGAAAAGCUUUUACAGGUUCCUAAUUAAAAUUAAUACGGCGACGCAAGCGACGAGGGACCUGAUCCAGCGG